UGCACCACCGUGUCCUAAAUCAUUUAAAGGAUCAGUGAGUGUGUCUUCAUUUCAUUCCAGACUGCCAGAGGUUAUAUAAAGAGGGGCAAUUUAAAAUAAUUACCUGUCUGUUAAAGGGGAAGACCUCAAAGAAGAAGUCAGAGUCCAACGCUGCGGUCAGUCCUCCUCCUCCUGGCAGAAGAAGGUCAGAGGCUGCGCCUUGGGGUAGCAGGUAUUCGUGAAAGUUAUCGAGGCCAUUGACAAAGUCGCUUAUGUGUCGGCACAGCACUUGGAUGGAGAGACACUGGUUUUGGAAACCCUUUAUAAUGUGCCCUGCAACAAAGCAUGUAAUGCCUUUCUCUUCACUCUGCCAGUAAGGAUUCAUCUGAAGGCCAGCGGGGCAAACGAUUAUAAAGGCGCCCUAAUUGCACAAACCCUUAAGUCUGAAUGGGACUCUUUUGUUCUUGUGUCAGCUGUCAGUGCCUGGUGGCUGUGCACCUCUCGAUGUGACAUAAACUCCCUGCGGAAGAAUCCUCUCGAGCACAGAUGAAACUUCUGCCUUCAUUUUGUCAUCCUCUUCUUUGCAA